GGAUUUCUGGUAGAGGUGGUCAAUACGUCAGACUGAAAAUCUGAAGAUUAAGGUUCAACUCCUUAGGAAUCCG
rnacentral:tRNA from 1 species